rnacentral:rRNA from 1 species
AGUGAACGCUGGCGGUAGGCCUAACAUAUGCAAGUCGAACGGCAGCACAGUAAGAGCUUGCUCUUACGGGUGGCGAGUGGCGGACGGGUGAGGAAUACAUCGGAAUCUACUUUUUCGUGGGGGAUAACGUAGGGAAACUUACGCUAAUACCGCAUACGACCUACGGGUGAAAGCAGGGGAUCUUCGGACCUUGCGCGAUUGAAUGAGCCGAUGUCGGAUUAGCUAGUUGGCGGGGUAAAGGCCCACCAAGGCGACGAUCCGUAGCUGGUCUGAGAGGAUGAUCAGCCACACUGGAACUGAGACACGGUCCAGAAUCCUACGGGAGGCAGCAGUGGGGAAUAUUGGACAAUGGGCGCAAGCCUGAUCCAGCCAUACCGCGUGGGUGAAGAAGGCCUUCGGGUUGUAAAGCCCUUUUGUCGGGAAAGAAAAGCAGCAGGUUAAUACCCCGCUGUUCUGACGGUACCCAAAGAAUAAGCACCGGCUAACUUCGUG